GACCUGGAAGCAAAACAACAGAGCCACCGAUGGAAAAAGCUCCACAGCCUGCGGCCGAAACAACUGAUAAGGAUGGAUUAACCUACAAGGGGCACAGAGACUAACUUUGCUCCUAAACUUCAGAAGGAGGGAUGGUUUGCAGCUGCUGAGAUGCGAACAUUAAGGAAAUGACUGGAUGCCCACUGCUUCAGAUGAGAAAAGAACACUGGCAGUGAUGGGUUGAUGGAAGGUCAUGGGAUCAUCGGACAAGACGGAUGAAGAAAAAAAAAAAA